CAGCCGCCGCGGUAAUACGGAGGGGGCUAGCGUUGUUCGGAAUUACUGGGCGUAAAGCGCACGUAGGCGGCUUGGUAAGUUAGAGAUGAAAGCCCGGAGCUCAACUCCGGAAUUGCCUUUAAGACUGCCGAGCUAGUAGGUGAGAGAGGUAAGCGGAAUUCCGAGUGUAGAGGUGAAAUUCGUAGAUAUUCGGAAGAACACCAGUGGCGAAGGCGGCUUACUGGCUCAUUCUAGACGCUGAGGUGCGAAAGCGUGGGGAGCAAACAGGAUUAGAUACCCCUGUAGUCCCUGUCUCUUAUAC
rnacentral:rRNA from 1 species